rnacentral:rRNA from 1 species
GCCCCUUCGGGGGUACUCGAGCGGCGAACGGGUGAGUAACACGUGAGCAACCUGCCCCUGACUCUGGGAUAAGCCUGGGAAACUGGGUCUAAUACCGGAUAUGACCAUUCAAGGCAUCUUGUGGUGGUGGAAAGUUUUUCGGUUGGGGAUGGGCUCGCGGCCUAUCAGCUUGUUGGUGGGGUGAUGGCCUACCAAGGCGACGACGGGUAACCGGCCUGAGAGGGCGACCGGUCACACUGGGACUGAGACACGGCCCAGACUCCUACGGGAGGCAGCAGUGGGGAAUAUUGCGCAAUGGGCGGAAGCCUGACGCAGCGACGCCGCGUGGGGGAUGACGGCCUUCGGGUUGUAAACCUCUUUCAGCAGGGACGAAGCUAACGUGACGGUACCUGCAGAAGAAGCGCCGGCUAACUACGUGCCAGCAGCCGCGGUAAUACGUAGGGCGCAAGCGUUGUCCGGAAUUAUUGGGCGUAAAGAGCUCGUAGGCGGUUUGUUGCGUCCGUCGUGAAAGCCCACAGCUUAACUGUGGGUCUGCGGUGGAUACGGGCAGACUAGAGGCAGGUAGGGGAGAACGGAAUUCCCGGUGUAGCGGUGAAAUGCGCAGAUAUCGGGAGGAACACCGGUGGCGAAGGCGGUUCUCUGGGCCUGUACUGACGCUGA